GCUCUAAGCUUAUAAAUUCAAAUCAACUCACGCCACUGGUCCCUGUUUACAAUCGUGCAAAGCAGUACAGGUUAGGAAAAUUCAGGCCGAUUUUCCUGCAAAGGAAACCACUUUUCAUCAUUUCUUAGUUAGGCUACAGCUAAUGUCCUUUACAAACUGAAUUGGCAUCAUUUGGAUACAAAAAAUUGCCUUAUGAUGCUGACGCAAUGUCAGCGGAUUGCAGUGAUCUCCAUUGGACCGUUUGGGCCAAUGUCAAACAAUUCAGUUAUAUCUGUUAUCAAAGCUGCAUACUCUUACAUGAUGGUGAUGCAGUCAUACAAAUAGUUGAUUACAUUUAAGCUUAAGCAUCUAGUAAAAGUUGUUUUAGAAUAAGUAUGACCGCAAGCUUAACGGCAAUAUGCCAGAACAUAAAGCGCCCUAAUUUUUUUAUCGUAAUGCAAUAAAUGAUUGGAAGAUAU